rnacentral:rRNA from 1 species
UACAGAGGUCUCAAGCGUUGUUCGGAUUCAUUGGGCGUAAAGGGUGCGUAGGCGGCGCGGUAAGUCGGGUGUGAAAUCUUGGAGCUUAACUCCGAAACUGCAUUCGAUACUGCCGUGCUUGAGGACUGGAGAGGAGACUGGAAUUUACGGUGUAGCGGUGAAAUGCGUAGAUAUCGGGAGGAACACCAAUGGCGAAGGCAGCUCGCUGGGACGUGACUGACGCUGAGACGCGAAAGCGUGGGGAGCAAACAGG